GAUCUGUCAGCAGAUCUUCAAAAGACUGAUGAGGACGUUCCCUUAUUCUCCCCAGCAAGCACUCUGAGGCAGAAUGAAAACCCAACAGUUCUCUAGUAAUGCCAAGGAAUUGUUUUUAUUUAUUGUUUUACACAAACUGUGUGAAAAAUAUAUUUUAUUCAAUCAUUCAGUGCAGGAGAAGUGGAGAAGAAGAACCAAACAGGACAAAAUAAUCAUGAAGUACGCAUUCUUCUUUCCCUUCCCUAAUUUACAUUUUUCACACUUCACACUGUUAACUGGGGUUGGUGUGGAUCUGUAUGGAUAAAUGCACGUGGUUUCAACAGAUAAUUUUGCAAGUUAAUGACAUUUUAAAACCUGUCAUCUCAGGGCAAAAUAUGCAGGUUGGCUUGGUGUAAAAGAAUUCUCCUCUCCCAUCCCUUUUGCAUUCAGGCCAAUGAGGAAAGCUUCUGGUCUGACUGACAAUCACGUGCAGCAUUGAAGAGUCCUCCUCUCCAAUUGAAAGGCCUAUAAAGGGGAGGAGUUUCCUGCUUCCUAUUUUCUUCCUAAUGAUAUUACUGUUGUUGGCCAGAAUCUAAUCACCUCACAUGGAGGUCACAGCCUUUCAUUAGUACACUGGGAAGUGUUCAUGAAGGAAACACAGAAGUUGUUUUGGAGUGUUUGCACAAGACCCAAUUGAGAGAAAACAGCUGAAAACUACCAGAGGGCCCUUUGGCUAGCUUGAGGAAGGUGCGGACUCUGCAUUCACAAAGGGUGCCCCAAUAACUCACUGGGGCCAGGAAGAACAAUUGCAAAGGUGCAUAUUCCUUGCCAUUCCAGGAAGAAACAAGCAGGCUAAAGGCAUCUGCUUUGAGUUUCAAGGAUGGGGAAGAAAAGUCGUCUGGUGUUCACAUCCUGUGCUUCAUUUCCAAAAAUUAGAGUGAGCGACCAAGCUUGGAAGUUGCCCCUUCAGCAAAUCUCAGACUGGCAGACUGACUGAACCAGAAAGAUCUUGCAGCAAUAAUUGAUGUAAUAUUCUGGAAGAGAAACCAGCUCUCAAGCAUUACAAAUGCCUAUUAAACUAAAGAGACAUCUGGCAACCUGCAGAGUCUUCGUUUCUAUUGCAGAGGGAGCACAAUGGAGCUGGAGCUGCUGCUUCUUUUCUUCUCCUCGCUGGGCUUGCAUGCGGAUUCUUGGCCAAGCGUAGCGAGUGGAUCACACAGCUGGGAAAAUGCAACCCUCUCCGCCUGUUUGGCUGCUCCUGAGCCAUGUGGCUGAACAUGAGAGCACGGGCAGUUGGCCAGCUGCUUUCCUCAAAGUCUGGGUCAAGGCAGUCCACUGGGGAGGCUUGUUUACGCCAUGAACUGCCGUCGCUUGCAAAGCUCUGCUCCGUGCAGAGUGCUGGGGAGCAACCAGUCCAGGGCGCUCCGCAGUAUAAUUCCUGCCGCUUGUUUGUUUACCCUCUGCGCUGCUUAUGAGGGAGGACCACCGCACUGAGCUUGGCGAUGAAGCCCUGUGGUCAGCAUGCACGCAAGAACCUGCAGAGCAAGGGCUGGAAAAGGUCACGGCAUCUGAGGGGCUGGGAGGGGCCCUGCAAGGCUGCCAUCAGGGUCGUUGCUGGGAAUCCAAAGGGUUUGACCCAUUUAGGCCGGCACAGUUUGCUCUGUCCUCCCUUAACUGAGUGGCAUCUCAACAGGCCAGUUGUAUAGUGUUGCUUCAGUGGCUGUGGUGUAAACAAAGGCUUGUGGUGC